rnacentral:rRNA from 1 species
CCUACGGGGGGCAGCAGUGAGGAAUCUUGCGCAAUGGGGGAAACCCUGACGCAGCGACGUCGCGUGGAGGAAGACGGCCUUCGGGUUGUAAACUCCUUUUGCGAGGGACGAGCAAGGACGGUACCUUGCGAAUAAGCCCCGGCUAACUCCGUGCCAGCAGCCGCGGUAAUACGGAGGGGGCGAGCGUUGUCCGAAUUUAUUGGGCGUAAAGCGCGUGUAGGCGGAUGUUCAAGCCCGGGGUGAAAGGUUGGGGCUCAACCCCAACAGUGCCCUGGGGACUGGACGUCUGGAGGCAGGCAGGGGAGCGUGGAAUUCCUGGUGUAGCGGUGGAAUGCGUAGAGAUCAGGAAGAACACCCGUGGCGAAGGCGGCGCUCUGGGCCUGUACUGACGCUGAGACGCGAAAGCGUGGGGAGCGAACGGGCUUAGAUACCCCAGUAGUC